rnacentral:rRNA from 1 species
UACAGAGGUCUCAAGCGUUGUUCGGAUUCAUUGGGCGUAAAGGGUGCGUAGGUGGCAUGGUAAGUCGGAUGUGAAAUCCCGGGGCUUAACCCCAGAACUGCAUUCGAUACUGCCAGGCUAGAGUACUGGAGAGGAGAUUGGAAUUUACGGUGUAGCAGUGAAAUGCGUAGAUAUCGUAAGGAAGACCAGUGGCGAAGGCGGAUCUCUGGACAGUUACUGACACUGAGGCACGAAGGCCAGGGGAGCAAACGGG